UACGUAGGGGGCAAGCGUUGUCCGGAAUCAUUGGGCGUAAAGAGCGUGUAGGCGGCCUGGUAAGUCCGCUGUGAAAGUCCAGGGCUCAACCCUGGAAUGCCGGUGGAAACUGUCAGGCUCGAGUCCGGAAGAGGCGAGUGGAAUUCCUGGUGUAGCGGUGAAAUGCGCAGAUAUCAGGAGGAACACCCAUAGCGAAGGCAGCUCGCUGGGACGGUACUGACGCUGAGGCGCGAAAGCGUGGGGAGCGAACAGG
rnacentral:rRNA from 1 species